AUUGAACGCUGGCGGCAGGCCUAACACAUGCAAGUCGAGCGGGAGUAGCAAUACUCUAGCGGCGAACGGGUGAGGAAUGCUUGGGAAUCUGCCUAGUAGUGGGGGAUAACGUUCGGAAACGGACGCUAAUACCGCAUACGUCCUACGGGAGAAAGGGGGGGAUCUUCGGACCUCUCGCUAUUAGAUGAGCCCAAGCGGGAUUAGCUAGUUGGUGAGGUAAUGGCUCACCAAGGCAACGAUCCCUAGCUGGUCUGAGAGGAUGAUCAGCCACACUGGAACUGAGACACGGUCCAGACUCCUACGGGAGGCAGCAGUGGGGAAUAUUGGACAAUGGGCGAAAGCCUGAUCCAGCCAUGCCGCGUGUGUGAAGAAGGCCUUAGGGUUGUAAAGCACUUUAAGCGAGGAGGAAGGUUCGUCACCUAAUACGUGGCGGAAUUGACGUUACUCGCAGAUAAGCACCGGCUAACUCUGUGCCAGCAGCCGCGGUAAUG
rnacentral:rRNA from 1 species